CCAGUCUACAUUGUUGAGGUCCUUACUGAUGUAGGUCUUACAUCCAGUCUACAUUGUUGGGGUCCUUACUGAUGUACGUCUUACAUCCAGUCUACAUUGUUGGGGUCCUUAUUGAUGUAUGUCUUACAUCCAGUCUACAUUGUUGAGGUCCUUACUGAUGUAGGUCAUUACACUGGUGAUCAUACAUCCAGUCUACAUUGUUGCUGUCCUUACUGAUGUAGGUCAUUACACUGGUGAUAUUACAUCCAGUCUACAUUGUUGGGGUCCUUACUGAUGUAGGUCUUACAUCCAGUCUACAUUGUUGAGGUCCUUACUGAUGUAGGUCAUUACACUGGUGAUAUUACAUCCAGUCUACAUUGUUGGGGUCCUUACUGAUGUAGGUCUUACAUCCAGUCUACAUUGUUGGGGUCCUUACUGAUGUAGGUCUUACAUCCAGUCUACAUUGUUGCUGUCCUUACUGAUGUAGGUCAUUACACUGGUGAUCUUACAUCCAGUCUACAUUGUUGGGGUCCUUACUGAUGUAGAUCUUACAUCCAGUCUACAUUGUUGAGGUCCUUACUGAUGUAGGUCAUUACACUGGUGAUCUUACAUCCAGUCUACAUUGUUGGGGUCCUUACUGAUGUAGGUCAUUACACUGGUGAUCUUACAUCCAGUCUACAUUGUUGGGGUCCUUAUUGAUGUAGGUCUUACAUCCAGUCUACAUUGUUGAGGUCCUUACUGAUGUAGGUCAUUACACUGGUGAUAUUACAUCCAGUCUACAUUGUUGAGGUCCUUACUGAUGUAGGUCAUUACACUGGUGAUCUUACAUCCAGUCUACAUUGUUGGGGUCCUUACUGAUGUAGGUCAUUACACUGGUGAUAUUACAUCCAGUCUACAUUGUUGGGGUCCUUACUGAUGUAGAUCUUACAUCCAGUCUAAAUUGUUGGGGUCCUUAUUGAUGUAGAUCUUACAUCCAGUCUACAUUGUUGCUGUCCUUACUGAUGUAGGUCAUUACACUGGUGAUAUUACAUCCAGUCUACAUUGUUGAGGUCCUUACUGAUGUAGGUCAUUACACUGGUGAUCUUACAUCCAGUCUACAUUGUUGGGGUCCUUACUGAUGUAGAUCUUACAUCCAGUCUACAUUGUUGCUGUCCUUACUGAUGUAGGUCAUUACACUGGUGAUAUUACAUCCAGUCUACAUUGUUGAGGUCCUUACUGAUGUAGAUCUUACAUCCAGUCUACAUUGUUGCUGUCCUUACUGAUGUAGGUCAUUACACUGGUGAUAUUACAUCCAGUCUACAUUCUUGGGGUCCUUAUUGAUGUUGAUCUUACAUCCAGUCUACAUUGUUGGGGUCCUUACUGAUGUAGGUCAUUACACUGGUGAUAUUACAUCCAGUCUACAUUGUUGCUGUCCUUACUGAUGUAGGUCAUUACACUGGUGAUCUUACAUCCAGUCUACAUUGUUGCUGUCCUUACUGAUGUAGGUCAUUACACUGGUGAUCUUACAUCCAGUCUACAUUGUUAUGAAUUCUUUUAUGACUUGUUAUGUAUUCCGAUAGAUUUAUUAAAGUUAUUUUUGUCUAUUUUGGAAAUAAUGAAUUUCAACAUGUGCAAUGGUCAAGAAUAUUGUGAAUUAUAU